rnacentral:tRNA from 1 species
UCCCCUAUAGCUCAGUGGUUUAGAGCACUGGUCUCGUAAACCUGGGGUUAUAAGUUCGAAUCUCAAGGGGGGGU